GGAGUCUUAUCUUCACCUGUAAGGCUAAGAUUACAAAAUUUAUCAUUCGAGAGGAUUGGUAUUAUCUGGCUUGCCCCACCUGUAGCAAGACCCUUAGGUUCGAUCAUAAUUCUAGAAAACUUUGUUGUGGACACCACGGAGAGCAGAUUGGGCAUCCAAUGUAAGCUACUUGAAUAAACACUAUUUCCCACCUUUGAAAUUUUUAAAAUUACAUGUUCACUGUAUUCUUGACUCUUAUUUAUGAAAUGUAUAAUUGCAUGUAAUUCAUUUGCCAAAUCUCUUUGUAUUUUUCAUUCUGCUUAAACUUUUUUUUUCCCAUGUUUCACAUAUCAUACCUUAUGAUACGGAAGCGUAAUCACGAUAGAAACAAGGUGCGUAAUCACGAUAGAAACAAGGUUUCGUCAAGCGUCGAAACCUUAUGGAGUAAGCUAGAAUCCACUAGCAAAACACAGGCACAAGCCUAAAACAUAAGAGUUUCUAUUCUAAUUUCUUUUGGGUUUUCUUAUUGAUAACUUCCAUCAAAAUACAAUUUAGCAGGGGCCUUAUAUAGGCAUAGAAAUAAACAUAAUCAUACUAGAACUAGGAAUCCUUUAUUCUAAAUAAAACUUAAAUCCUAAUGAAAACAUAGAAAGUAAAAUAAUCCUAAUGCUGAUAGAAAAUAUGCAGGAACAAAGCUACUGCUUUGCAGAUUCAAAGCUGCUGCUUUGACUUUGCCUUCCUAGCAAGCUGUGUCUUAAAUGUUUGUGCAAGCUGUUCUAUAUCAGUCUCCUCCACUUUAGAAGAACUCGACCUCGAGUUUAUGUUAGGAUAGAAAGCGUCAUCAUCAUCAGCUUGAUAGGCAUGUAUGUCACUAACGUUGAAGGUCUUGGAUAUUCCCAUAGUAUCUGGCAGAUCAAUGACAUAUGCAUUGUCAUUGAUUUUCUUGAUAAUUUUGUACGGUCCAUACUUCCUGCGCUUGAGCUUGUUGUAGGUACCGAUAGGAAACCUUUCUUUUCGUAAGAAAAUCAUCACAGUGUCUCCUUCGCUAAAAAUCUUCUCACGCCGAUGAGAAUCUGCAAUAGCCUUGUACUUCACAUUAGUAACUUUCAGUUUCUGCUUAACCUCAUCUUGGACUCCAUGUACCUCUCUUGCCAUUGACGCAGCUGCUUCACUAAAGUCCUUAGCCUUUGGAACAGUAGCCAAGUCAACCACAAGCUUAGGAGGUGAAACAUACACCACUGAAAAUGGUGUCCUUCCAAUAGAGCUGUGAACUGAACCGUUAUAGGCAAACUCAACCUGAGGCAGAAUAACAUUCCACNNNNNNNNNNNNNNNNNNNNNNNNNNNNNNNNNNNNNNNNNNNNNNNNNNUUGAUCUUGCAUAUCAUAUUCUCAAGUACUGCAUCUUUAUCAUGACAUGUUUUAUCGAAUAACUAGAUAUCUAUGUUUAAUAACUAUUGUACUUCUACACUUUUACUAUCUUAUGAAUUUUGAAAACUUGUAUUGAUGAUUUGGAGUUGGGAUAUAACAAUAAUCAUUUGAUUAUAAAUUGAACAAUGAUAAUAAAAAAUUUCUAACAAAAAUUAGACGAAAUAAUAUGUAAAAAGAGGUACCAAAUAGUAAAUAUAGAUUAAUUAUAUUAAAUAAUGAAAUAUUUCAUAAAUUAAGGGUAUUGCGUAUUAAGUAUAAUACUGAAAUGAAAAACUUGAUAUGUGGUGUAUUAAGUAAGGGGUGUAUAUUAAGAUAUUAGAGGUGUGUAUUUAAAAUUUCUCUUCUUGUCUAGGUUGAUAAAUUUGUCAAUUUAGUUUAGCAAUAUUAGGAUUUAGCAAUUUUUUAGGCAUUCUGCUGGAGCUCUUAUUCAUCCCAAAAGUUGACAAAUUUCAAAAAAGUAAAUGAUUCGACAAUACUGUUGGGGAUGCUCUAAGAUGAUUAGCUUUUCACUCAUUGGCAAUUACUUUUUUACCAUUCUGAUUAUAAUUUUCAUUUUUUAUUAAACAAACAACUGAAAUGCUACGACGAGUCUAUGACUCACAACCUCCCACUUACUCCCACUUAGAUCAAAUACAUUUGUUUAUUUGUGUAUAGAUUGUAAUUCAAUAAUGACCUCCUUGGGAGAUGAAUAUAAUCAAGACAUUAUUCCUAUGCUUUCUUAUAAGUUGAAGAUUUUGCUAAAUGAUCCAAAACAACAUGCAUUAUGGUACGUUUAUAUAUGUGCAAAUCAUCACCAAAAGCUACAAGUUACACGAGGCCACAAGAACAGUAUAAGAAACUAUCAAUCUGCAACCGUUUCAUGACUUGCGAAAUUAGAAGAAGUUCUUGGCCAUCAAACUUUCAACAGUAUCCUUCAGUGUCACUUCUAGCAGUGUAUACUUUACACCCAAAGAUUGGGCUCUUUCCUUUGAUACCUGGCAUGUUGGUGGAAAAGGCUCGUCAUCUGCACAUCUGUCAAAAAUAGAGACUGAUGAGAUUGUGAAGUCCCAGCUAGUAUGCCAAGUAUGAAAAUGUUAAUGCAACUUACUUAUCUGGAAGAGUGAGAGUGGGGAAGAUACUGCUCAACAUCUUCACAAUCUCUGAACAGUGGUUAGUGCUUCCAACUAAACAAUAACGUCCCCAAGCUGAGGGGUUCUCAAAGGCUAGAAUGUGUGCAUUAGCAACAUCUCUAACAUCAACAAAUCUGUAAUUUUUGUUAGGAAACUGUUCCUUCCCUGCAUCAAUUAAACGAUAAUCAGCAACAACAGAUUCGAAUUGGCAGAUUGUUUGAGACGGAUAUCAAGGUGAAGAGCAAAGUGUUAUCCACUAAAUAAUGCAAAUUUUUUCCAAUAAAAGUACCAUUUACGAGAUUUAGAACUUGUUCCGCACUUAAGUUUAGAGUUGGCUGUAAGAGAGGGCCAAUCACCCAUGCCGGAUUUAUUGUAACAAUAUCAAUGCCUUUCUCUUUUGCAAACUCCCAAGCAGCUUGCUCAGCUAGUAUCUUUGAAAGCACAUACCAAAGCUGAUGGAAACCCCAAUGUCUUAGUAAAUACAAUGCACAUAGUUUUUAUGGCUUGAAAGCAAUCCUAUAGUUAGUAUGCAGGCAACCACAAAACCAUUUACACACAAACCUUUGAUUUUUCGCAAAAAGCAGGAUCCGAAAACCAAGUUUCAUCAAUGGUUACAUCAGAAGUUUCAGGUUUUCCGUUAAAUGCAACUGUUGCAAUAGAGGAUGUUAUAACCACCCUUUUAACAGAGGGAACCUUCACACACGAUUCAAGGACAUUAAGCGUUCCCUUCAAAGCAGGGUCCAAUAAUUCUGCCUGACAAAGAUUAAGAGCUAGCAAAAUUAUAGUGCAAUAAGUGCUGAUUUUGCAGGUAAGAUGAAACUGCAUCAACAAAUUAGAAAAACUGGUACAUGUUCAUUAAACAAAGAAAUGAACCUGAGGGUCAGUGACUGAAAGAAGUACAGAGGAUGCCGUAUGGAAAACACAUUCACAACCAUCUACUACAGAAUCAAAAGAACCUUCAUCUAACAAGUCAGCUUUGAAUAGAUGAAGCCUUUCCUUUGCUCCUUCAAGUGAGAGCAGGUGUUCUGUUUUCUUUUGAUCAUCUGCAGCAUGCAAAAGCCAAAAGCAGAACUUGCUUAGUUAAGACUGAAAAUUAAAACCUAGAUGUUGAAGAUUAGCUGAAGAAGUGGCUCAAGUUGAUAAAGUCUGAAUGGAUCCAAACUUGAAAACAAAACGGGAAGAGAGAAAGAAAAGAGAAGUGAUGGAACUGACUUGGAUCCCGAACGGUGGCUUUGACAGUAUACCCUCGUUGCAGUAAGAGCUUGACCAGCCAUGAUGCUAUGAACCCUGAUGCUCCUGUCACACACACCACCUUGCUUUCUCCACAACUCAUCCUUUUUGUCUCUUCUUCUCUCCGGUUGUCUCUCGUAGGAAGUAAGAGCUUAGUUUCUGUGACAGGGAGACCUCUCUAUCCUGAUUUUUAUAAUGAUGGUGGGUGUAGACACAUAAAAUUUAAUGAAAAUAAUAAUCAUUAGAUUAUUCAUUCAACGCAUGAUCUUGACAAAUUGCAUACGUGUGGUUCAUGAGUCGAGAAAGUUGAAAAAUCUUUGGAAAUGACAUGUGGCGACGUGUGAAUGGUCAGUCGACAACAAAAUCAUCAAUCCCGACUAAAAGCAAAUAUUAAAUAUCAAUCGAUAAUCAAAUUUCAAUCAAAUUAAAUUGAUUAUCGGAAAGGAAGUCGAACAUUUAAUUAAAUUGAUAAAAUACCUUAUCGGUUAUAAUCGAAUCAAUCAAUAGAUACCGAUUGAUUUAUUUAUGUUAAUAAUUAUAAUUAGAUCAAUCAAUCAAGACUGAUUGAUUUAAUUAUACCGUUAAGAAAAUACAAUUAAAACGGUGUCUUCAAAACAUUCCAUAAACAGAGGAACGUUGACACUAUAAAUACGCCCUCUCAUAUCAAGAGGAAGACUUCCGGACAAGAGAGAAAAAUUACUCCCGAGAGCUCAGAAUUCUCCCAAAACCUUUGAAGAAUCAUCAAACUGCCAAAUAGCCGAUUCUUCAUCAACCUCAAGCCUAGAAGUUGUCAAAUCCCGAAGAGUCCCAAGUUGCCAAAUAGCCGACAUAUUCACCAACUACAAGACGAAGAGCAACCACCAUGUGGAACUGCUCGUGUCCCAAACCCGAUCAACGUCAAGCCUCUACGGCCCUUGAUCAACCCUCGUCUUCAAGCCUUUUAACAAAUCAAAACUUCUACUAAGUUCUUCAACAAGCUCAAGGAGAAUCAACAAGCACCAAACACACGUGUCGAUUCAUCUGUUAUCAAGCCGAAGAAUGUGACACCUCUCACGGCCCAAAUUCGACCAAGAUCAAGCCUCUAUGGCCCUUGGUCAACUUCCUUCUACAAAUAGUCAACACGAUAAGAAGUUCAAACUACAACAGUUCAAUUCAAGAUCAAGUGCUCGUCACCCUUGGAUCAAAUCAAUGUCGGAGAUCGAAUCAGAGGACAUUUUUGUUAAAAGAAUACCCACAGAGAUUCUAACCCGCAAAUUCAAUCAAUACAAAUAUAUUAUUUUGUACACGUGUCUUUCUGUUAUUCGUUACAUGAAUUUUCGUGUUUUCAGUGGGAUUUAUGAUAUGCUUAGUCUCUAAACUAUUCUCAUUUCUCAUAAACAACCAAUGUAGGGAGCUGUGUCAAUUAACUUUAUUAUAAUUAGCAUUAGUGUUAUAGUUGACUUAGAUUAAAUACUAUACAAGCCACCUUGGAAAAUGAAUAUAAUCAACACAUUAUUUUCAUAUACUUUCUUAUUUCUUUAAGCUUUUUUCGAAUCCGCAGCACCAGUUAUGUGCAGAUCAUCACCACAAGCUAUAAGUUAUACAAAGGUAGACAUACACUAUGAAUCUGCAGUAACUGUUUCCAAACUUGCGAAUAAGACGUUACAUAAUUAGAAGAAGUUCUUGUCCAUCAAACUCUCAACAGUAUCCUUUAGUGUCCCUUCCAGCGGAGUAUAAUUGACACCCAAAAUUUGGGCUCUUUCUUUGGAUACCUGAUAAGUUGGUGUGAAAGGUUUAUCAUCUGCAGACCUGCCAAAAGUAGAGACUCAUGAGUUUCUGAAGUCCUAAUACUCUCUUCGGCAAUCAAGCAAAUUAGUCAUUAUGAAAUAUGAAUACAGUUACAUUGUCUUACCGCACUCACUACUCUAUAUCAUUCAGUAUCAGAAUUUAGAAGUACACUAUUCACAACAAAUAGGUUAUUACAAAGUCUAUCAAACCAUUCAAUAGAUUCAAAACUGAAACAGAACAACUAGCAGGCAAUUAGCAAACAUCUGAUUCUAGAUGUAUGCUUAGAAUUGAUAUUGUCCAAAAUACACAUUAAAUAGGAUAUCGCUUUUUCCAUAAGUGACCGAAUUAUGUAUCCUGAUAAGAAACAAUUGCCAAUACUAUGUAAGAGGGAUGUCUUGAACUCAAACAGAAAGGUACCCGACAAGUACACCAGUGCUAUCCUUACAACUCUCUAAAACACACAUAGGAGUAACAUCUGAUAGAUUGUUUAUAUUAGCAACUUACUUUUCUGGAAGACUGAGAGCAGGGAAGAUAUCACGCAGAAUUUUCACAAUAUCUGAACAGUGUGUUACGCUUCCAACUAAACAAUAACGUCCACUAGCUGAAGGAUUCUCCAAGGCUAGAAUAUGUGCGUUGGCAACAUCUCUAACAUCGACAAACCUAUAAGUUGUGUUUGGAAAUUUUUCAGUCCCUGCAUCAAGUAAAAAGGAUUAUCAGGAGUUUGGGGCGUAGCUACAUUGGAACCAAAAGGUUCAAAUGACCCCUAUGAGGUUACGAGAACAAGCAUCAAUUGGUUGAUGAUUUCAUAUAUACUACAUUUUAAUGUAUAAAUUGACCCCUCUAUCAUAAAAAGAAAGAAAGAAAAAGAUAAGAUGAGAAUAUUGUCAUUGACCAAUAAAAAAAGAUGAGAUUGUACGUGAGAUUGUUCGAUCUGCCCGCAAGUUUUUAUUAUGUUAGUAGAUUUCUAAAACAGUAAAACAAGUCAUGGUUUCAUAUUGAUCAAGAUCAUCAAACCUUAAAUUGUAAUUUACUUAUUGUUAUAUGUAUAAAUCAUGACCCUUAUAAUUGAGAUUUAUAGCUACGCCACAGGAGUAAUAACUUCUGGCAGCUUGUUUAACACUGAUACCAAGCUGAAGCGCAAAUCAAAUUUCACUAUAAGAUUUUAACGCAGCCAUUCUGAAAUAGGACAUAUCAUGAGAAAGUAAUUAAUUUCCAACAUUACCUUCCCUAUAACCUCCACCCUCUUCUCCAAGCAAACUCUAUAUAAAUCACUAUACUUUUUCUUAAUGCAACUGAAUAAAUCUUUUGAAUGUGAAGCAAAUAGUUAAACGGCAAGUGGUGCUUAAGACAAUUGUAUAUACUUAUAAAUCUUAGACAUGGAGACAAUGAUCUAAAUGCAAUAGAGCAAUGUCCACUCUUUUUAUCAGAGAGCAAUAAUUCUAGCAGAUAAACAAUGACUUCAAUUCUCAUCAACACAAAUAAAAGUGAUAACAGGAACUAAAAAUGUAGUAAGCCUGUAAGAUUGAAAUGAUAAAUGGAUUUCAAAUUUGCUUAAGAGUGUGAUAACAGGAACUAAAAAUGCAGUAAGAUUGAAGUGAUAAAUGGUUUUCAAAUUUGCUUAAGAGUACCAUUUAUGAGGUUUAGAAUUGGCUCCACACUUGUGUUGAGAGUUGGCUGUAAGAGAGGACCGAUCACAUAUCCUGGAUUUAUUGUAACAAUAUCAAUGCAUUUCUCUUUUGCAAACUUCCAAGCAGCUUCCUCAGCUAAUGUCUUUGAAAGCAUAUACCAAGCCUGAAGAAAACCAAUGUCUGAGCGAAGACAAUGAAAACAUAUUUUUAUGGCAUGCAAGCAAAUAGAUUGAACUCGUAUGAAAAAUUAUCUUAAAUGCAUGUAAAAAAAAACAACAUUUACAUGCAAACCUUUGAUUUUUCACAGAAAGCUGGAUCUGAAAACCAGGACUCAUCAAUUAUUACAUCAGGAGCGACAGGAUUUCCAUUAUAUGCAACUGCUGCCAUAGAGGAAGUUAUGACCACCCUCUUAAUAGACGGAACCUUAACACAUGAUCUGAGAACAUUGAGUGUUCCCUUCAAGGCAGGGUCAAUUAGUUCAGCCUGACAAAAGAACACAGAACCUUCAAUUAUAGAACUUGAAUUGACAACAAAAAUAUCCAACAGAAAAUUGUUGCCUUUGUCUCCAAAUUCAAUCUAUCCAAAGUCAAACUAUGUAAUAAUGUAAACACUUAAAGGAUUGGGAACUAUAAGGGUGAAUCUUGUAUAUUGCAUAAGGACUUUUGGUGAUUACUAAUAAACUAACUUUAAAAAUCAUAACUUCAUCCAAGUAGAUCUAUGACAGAUACCAUCCCACAAGAAGCAUGGCAACUAAAUGCACUCUAUACACCGUGUACCCUACUUCCUGGGAUAUUCAGUAGCGAACACAAUGUGGGUUAAACAUCUGCUGAAAUGAAAGUUCUAUUUUAUUUUGGUAGCUCCAGGAAUAAAUCAACAGAAGAGUCCGUUUCUAAAAUAUUAGAAACAUAUACAGUAUUUAGUAGAACAACUAAAGCAAUUACAAUGAAAUGGGAUGUACCUGUGGAUCAUUGGGAUUGAGAUAAAAUGGGGAUGCUGUAUGAAAAACAGCAACACUACCAUCAACUAUGGAAUCAAAAGAUCCUUCUUCGAGUAGAUCUGCUCUAAACAAUUGAAGCCUUUCCUUGGCUCCAUCUAAUGCACGCAAGUGUUCUGUUUUCUUCUUGUCAUCUGUGGCAUACAAACAGAUUGAAGCAGUUGAAUCAAUAAAACCAUCAAAACUGUACCUUCAAAAACUGCCAAACAGAUCUCCACAAUGACAAUUUAUUUCUUCCCUCAAACAGAUCCUGAUCUGUUUGGUACUAUGACUAAGUAAAUUGAAUCAAACCCAUCACUCUAUCAGGUUACCAAGGUCAAACCCAUAACACUAGUUAUCCAAUACCCACAUUCUUGUUGCUAAAAAUCUAAAAGCUUUGACGAAGUCUCAAUGAUCAUCAAAUGUUAUUAAUCACAACAGGGUUUAGCGUUUGGAAUGAAGCACAACUGAACAGAAGACGAAAAGAACAAAAACGUGGGUAUGUAUGAUGUUGAAACAAGAACUCAAGUGAAGUGGAAGACUGACUUGGGUCACGAACUGAAGCCUUGACAGUGUAGCCGCGUUGCAGCAACAGUUUGACCAACCACGAUGCUAUGUAGCCGGAAGCUCCUGUCACACAGACAACCUUAGUUGCUGCACUCAUCCUCUCUCUCUAACGGUCUAACCUGCAGACUUGAGCUAUAAAGUAAUGCAAUAUUCUAUUUAUAAAGGAUUUCUGAGCAAUCGUCACUGCAUACCUACUCGUCACCAGGGUCGCAAGCUCUUGCGUCACUCCACAUUUUAGUCUUUUGAACACCAAACAUCUCAUUUACUCGUGACUUCAGACUUCAGAGUGCCGAAGUGUUAGAAUGAGAAGGCAUGGAUGAAUAGCUUUCUUGAGUGCGAAGGCAUGGGGUGGUUAAUAGUUCUAACCAUUUCGUUAAGCAGAAAAUCUUGCAUACACAGUGGUGACCAUAUAAUCUUAGUCAUUCAUAUAUGAUCGAUAACCAUCAAGCAUUUGUAUAUGAUAACCAUCAAGCAUUUGUAAUGUCAUCUAAUCUCAAACAUCGACAUGGUAGCGUGUAUCUACAUGCGGUGCUCUAAAGAUUCCUCAUUUCUGUAAGGGAGUGUGUUACUUGAAAAUAUUCCGACACAUAUAAAACAUUUUGUGUAGAGAUGAUGAUUAUAGGCUUCAUGUUUAUUUUGAAUUUCUAAAGAAAAUUACAAGAAGGGGACCCUAAAUAAAGGUAUUACAAGAAUAUUUCAACAUUUCUAAUAGCAUAAUUACAAUCUCAAACCACUGGAGCCUACUGCCCAUAUUACUCAUCAGCUUCGAAGAUGUCUGGAGCUAACUCUCUUAUUAACACGCAAAUGCAGUGGGGACAUAUAUCUGUGAUAUCUUGUGGCAUUCAUAUCUACAAGGCAACAAUAAAAACGUUCAAUUUCAAAGACACACAGUUUUGUGGGCAUAUUUGAUGGUUUCCAAUCUUUGAGUCCAAAACAAAGAGAUGACCUAAAACUUCUGUAGAUAAAAGUGAAAAAAUUCAAGGAUGAUUGAUCAUUUGAAAUUUAAACAUCACAUAUGCUAUUGAUUUUUUUUUUUUGUUUUUCAUUUGUUGGAUGAAAUAAAUUUAUCUCUCUACAGUCUACACUAAUGUAAGAUGUUCACGUCAAAAAAUCAAAAAUGCAUAGUAAAUAUUAGUAGAAAAAGAAGAGGUUCGAGUGUAUAACUAUAUACAGGUGAGAUCAUAUACCUGGUUCUGUGAUGUAUACAAAGAACACUCCUCUGUAUCUCUGAUUCUUAAAUAAGACAUUCAUGUAUUCUCUCUAGUACUUCAUCAACGAAAUGGAAAUAAGCAUCACACCAAGACUUCCUGAUUACUAAUAUGAAGAAAGGAACCAGAAUGCCUGCUGCAAAUCCCAAUCCAAGACUCAUAUAAAAGCACUUAUCAAUGACGUCAUCUUCACCACCACCAUUAUCAUUCUCCAAUAUUCUUCCCUUACCAGAAUCUUCACCGCCUGGACAUGUUACAAUUAGAGGAUCACCACAAAGGCCUGGAUUUCCACAGAAAGAAGAUGCAUCAAAAGUUGUCAAAUGAGCUGUGUAUGGGAUCUUCCCAGAAAAGUCAUUGUUUGACAAGUUCAAAUACCCCAGAAAUGAUAGUGAAGACAAACUUUGAGGAAUAGGACCUGAGAGCUUAUUACUAGCAAAAUCAAGUGAUUCCAACUGUUUCAACUUGGAAAUGCUCUCUGGAAUGUGACCACCUAUAUGGUUUCUAGAUAAAUCCAGAACAACCAAACCUGUUAGUUUUGUUAGUUCUUCAGGAAGAGCUCCACUCAACUCAUUUCCAGAGAGGUCCAUGCUGAUUACAAGGGAGAGGAUCUUGGUGUAUCUUUGAUCUGAUCCUUUCAAGUUCACAACCAAGCUUUCUUCAUAAUACAAGCUGCUGAAGAUCAGUUCAUAGAAUAACUAACGGUUCACGUUUUGCACUUGGGCCAUGGCUUUGAAAUCUGCAAAACCAAUUGGAAUGCUUCCAUUCAAUUGAUUUUCUGCAAGGUCCAGGACAUGUAAUGAACUUAAAUUUGACAGCACGAAGGAAGUUCUCCAGAAAAGGAAUUUGAUCUCGGCUUCAGAAUUCUCAGAUGUUCAAAAUAUUUUCCAAUCCAUGCUGGAAUUGUACCUGUAAGACUAUUGUUUCCAAGAUCCAAUGUUUCCAAACUUGAUAAAUUCUGCAAAGUGUGGAAGCUCUCCAGAGAGUUUAUUGUCACUUAAGUGCAAUGUUUGUAGUUUCAACUCACCGAAGGAUUUAGGAAUACUCCCAGACAACUUGUUCCUGCUUAAGUCUAGAACCACCAGGGAAGAACAAUUUCCUAUGCUAGAUGGAAUGCUUCCGGUUAAUAGGUUACUUGAAAAAUCAAUGGCAAAAGGAUACUGAAUUUUACCCAAGGAAGCAGGGAUUCCUCUCGUAAGUUGGUUUCCGGAAAGAGAGAGGAAGAUCAACCUUGGUACGGCAUCACCUAUGUUCUUCGGAAUGGAGCCUGAGAAUUUAUUGUUUGACAAGUCAACUAACUCAACAUCAACAACUGGAAGAGGAAUUGGUCCUUCGAAGAAGUUUCCACUGAAAUCAAUGUCUGCAUAAAGACCAACCUUUAAAGGAUUUGGCAGCUGACCAACUAAUUGAUUCAUUGAAAUAUUCAACACUGAUAGAUUAGAUGGCAUUUCCCACAACCAGUUGGGCAAGGAACCUGCAAAGCUUGCAUUUGAGAAGUCAAGAAACUUGACAUCCUUUUGUGACUUUAGCCAUGCAGGAAAUGAAGGACCCAAAUGGCAUGAGCCAAGACUAAAAGUCUGCACUUGAAAUGGGGGUACCCAAUUUGAACUGACAUUUAGUACUAGUGAAUUGAAAGAAAUGUACAAGUAUUUCAGCUUACUAAGGUUUUGAAAGUGUGUUUCAGUUACUAUACCCGUCAAAUGGUUGGAAGAAACAUGAAGCAAAGAAAGCUCAGAAAGUUUUCCUAAACUGUCUGGGAGAGUUCCAGUAAGUUUAUUGUAUCCAAGAUUCAACUUAGAAAUGUUUGGUAAUGACCCCAGUGAAGCAGGGAUGGGACCAUGGAUUGAGUUACUGAAAAGAUUUAGUUCAACAAGACUUUCAAGUUGACCCAACCGUUCUGGCAAAUUACCAACCAAUUGAUUGUUUCCCAAAUCGAGGAACUGGAGACUGGGCAGAGGAGUUCUAGAUAUGCACUUUCCUGUUCCUAGAACCUCGGGUAUAGUUCCUGUAAGGUUAUUACUUGUGAGGCUAAAAAGAGUCAGAUUGCAGAGUUUACCUAUGGAACUUGGAAUUCCACCUUGGACAUUAUUGUCAGAAAGAUCAAAAUAAGUGAGAGCUGUCAUGUUGCCAAUGGAAGCGGGAAGUUCACCAUGUAAUCUAUUGGAACUUAGAUCAAUAACGCGCAAGUUUUUCCAGCUUCCUGUGAAAACCUCAAUGCAAUUUGCCGUAAGAUUUCUAUUUGCAGAAAGAUCUAAAUUCUUCAACCUUGGAAGAUCACUGAAACCAAGGGGAAUCCUUCCAUACAAGCCGCAAAAUUCCAUGCUUACAGUUACAAGACUGCUGAUGUUAAGUAGCCAGUGAGGUAUCUCUGAAUUGAGGCUGUUAUAAUCAAGUUCUAUCACAGCUAAUGAAGUGAAAUUGAUUUCAGUCAGAGAGGCAACGAAACCAGAUAAGCCACAACUAGACAGAUACAACUCAGUCAAAGCGGGGAGCUUAUUAAGCUUCCCAAUCCAGUCUGAUCCUACCAUCGAAAGGUCAGCUCCAUUCAUAUUGAGAUAUUCCAAAGACACAAUACCAGACACCCAUCAAGGUUAUCAACAGAUAAAAAUGUAAAACCAAAUUCGUCGGAACUGACAUCAAGAUACUGCAAGUAAGAGAGGUUCCCUAAAUUUGGAGGAAUUGCACCACUAAACCCAGCAUUAGACAGGUUCAGAUGCUGCAAAUACUUCAAGGUUCCAAAUAACUCACGAAUUUGAACGGACUUGAAGGUAUUGAAACUCAAGUCCAAAUGCUUCAAAGACUUGAGCAUCUUCAGUGAUGGUCUAAUCUCACCACUAAAGUUCCAAAAUCCAUACAUGCUAGAAGAACCAGAAUCAUCAACUUGAUGGGGAUUAUGGUGAUCUAGGGAAAUGACAGCUCCCCUUGUGUUACUAAAGUGUACCCCCCACCAUUGGCAGCAGUCACUUCCUUCCCAUGAUGAAAGCCGGUUAUCACUUCCUUUCUGUAUCCAGGCAGCCUAUCUCGAAGUGACGUACAUCCAUGAACCAAAGGAGACCCGAUUGAACCUUGGAAAAAAGAUAGAGGAGAUUCGAUCUCAAACAAACAGAAGAAAGAUAUAGCAACAUUUAUGAGCGAAAAGAGACCCAAUUUUGAACCCUAGGAAAACAAAAGCAAAAACAAAAGAAGUUCGGGGAUGGUGAGAGGCGAGGAAACAAGUAACCGCUAGCGCCCGUGCGGGCGGGCAGCACCACCUUCAAACCUCUCAGGGGUUUUUAACCGUGAGAAAUGACACGCGAGGGAAUGAAGUUUCUUUUUUUAACCACUCGAGGGAAACACCAAUAAAAGACCCCACCAUCUAAAUUGUUUAGGGUUUGAUAAAAACACGCGCCACUUCCCAGCCCCACAUCCCCAGGUGGCCUACAAGGCAAGAGAACUCUAAAUGAAGCACUCGUUUCUUCACUUUUCUCCGAUGUGGGACGCUGCCUUUCUACAAUACACACACUCGCACAGUUUUUUCGACCUAGUGUUAUGGAGAGGGCAGUUCUGAGUUGAUGGAAACAGUCACAGUACUUCCUGUAGUAUUACUAUUUACUAUUUCUCUUUGUUGCAGAAAUACAGGUUUCAAUCUGUAAGACUGAUGCAGAAUAACGUUUUCGAUACAAACAUGAACUACGUGGAUUUCAAAACCAAUAAUGUAGUCGUCAAUGUCGUGCUUAGAAAUAAACUACUUCCAUUUCCAAAAGAAGAUAGAGAAUUAUAGAAGUUGUUUCCCGGAUAACGUAUACUGGAGGAAAAAUGAAAACAAUUUGAAUUGAAAGCGCUUUACAUAAUCAGCCAACUUCCAGCACUCUAUAAAGUAUACACUUCACAAUUUUAAAUAUGGUCUGGUUCAAAGGACAUCAAAUUUGACACUAAUUUUGACACUAUUUAUUAGCUAUUAGAUUUUAAAACAAUGAAUGGUCUAGAUCAAUUUUAAAUAUGAUGUCAACAAAUAAUUAAUUGAGAUGGCAAGUGACGUGACAUUACCUAAUUUUAUAACAAAUCAAAUUAAAAGAAAAAAAAGGAAAAAUCAGAAUUUAAAAUUUGAAAACCAAAAUCCAGAUUGUACGAUAAUAAAAAUCCACAAAAGAAAAAAGAAGAACACAGACGAAAGAAAGAAGAAAAAAAAUUGAUUUUGGAAGUUUAGGGAAACAUCUUAGAUGAUCCAGACAAAAUUGAUUAUGUACAUUAGCCAUAGAGAGCUGUAUAUAUCUACCACUGCAUGAUGCAAAACUGUAUGAUUCUUUUGUGCAUAAAGCCAUAACGAUAUGCUUUGAAAUUGAUUGUUUAAUUGUCUUUUCUAUAGUCAUUGCUCUAUGAAGAUCUGGUAUAUUAGAGUUGCAGCUUUAUGAUUGAAUGAGUACAGAAACAAAAGCUAGCUUCUUUCUAAGUGAAGAUUAAUUUAACGAAAUAUGAAGAUCUUAUAUGAGGGCAACUUUAUGAUUUGAAUUGAGGUUAUUUUCUUCUUUCUUUCGUUUAUGUUCUUCUUUUUAAGUCUUUUGUCGAUCUUUUUUCUUAUUUCUUUUCUUUUAAUUGUACCAACUUGAUUGGGAUUUUGGUUUCCAGAUUUUAAAGUAUGAAUCUUAUUUUUUAAUUUGAUUUGUUAUAAAAUUAGGUAAUGUCAUGUCACUUAUCAUCUCAAUUAGUUAUUUGUUGACAUCAUAUUUAGAAUUAAUCUAGACCGUUCAUUGUUUUAAAAUCUAAUGGCUAAUAAAUAAUGUCAAAAUUAAUGUCAAAUUUGAUGUCCCUUAAACCGGACCCUUUAAACAUAACAAUCGCUUUCCGAAUUAUUCAAUAACCGUUAUCCAAUACAUUGAUUUCCAAGUCAAUGCCGUGACAACUGAUUGCAUGUUAAAGUUAUAAUUCCUUGAACAAAAUACAUAGGAUGACAACUGACAGAUACUAAACUUGAGUUUAUUGAUCUUUCCUACGUGUUCAAUACAGUACAAGAAAAUAUGUACUCGUUGUUGAUUCAUUUUACCAUGCAAAUAAUCACUGCAAGCUAUAAGUACACAAGGCAACGAUCUUAUAAACAAUAACACCUCAAAAGUAGAAAUACAUACACUAUCAAUCUUUAACAAUGUCCGGACUUCCGAAUAAGUUUAAUUAGAAGAAAUUCUUGUCCUUCAAACUUUCAACAGUAUCCUUUAGUGUCACUUCCAGCGCAGUAUACUUGACUCCCAAAGUUUCGGCUCUUUCCUUGGACACCUGAUACGUUGGAGUGAAAGGUUUAUCAUCUGCAGACCUGCCAAAAGUAGAGGCUCAUGAGUUUCUGAAGUCCCAAUACUCUCUCGGCAGUCAAGCUAAAUUACUCAUAAUAAAUACAGUUACAUCGUCUUGCCUCACUCACUACUCUGUAACAUCUAGUAUCAGAAUUUAAAAAGUACACCAAUCACAACAAAGAGGUUAUCACAAAGUUUAACUAAAGCAUUCAAUCAAGUCAAACCAUUCAAUAGUGAAGAUUCAGAACUGAAAACACAACAAGUGGCAGGAAAUUAGCAAACAACUUAUUCUAUAUGAUAAACACCAAACGACCCCCUCCCUCCCUAUCAAUGAGAUAAUCUAUGCUCAAACAGAUAUUAUCCAAAUAUACAAUGUAAGAGGGAAGAUUUGCACUCUAGAAGAAAGGUACUUUAACUAAGUGCACCAGUGGCAUCCUUAUGCCUUUCAAACACAUAUAGGAGUAACAUCUGAUAGAUUGUUUAUAUUAGCAACUUACUUUUCUGGAAGACUGAGAGCAGGGAAGAUAUCACGCAGAAUUUUCACAAUAUCUGAACAGUGUGUUACACUUCCAACUAAACAAUAUCGUCCACUAGCUGAAGGAUUCUCAAAGGCUAGAAUAUGUGCGUUGGCAACAUCUCUAACAUCAACAAAUCUAUAAGUUGUGUUUGGAAAUUUUUCAGUCCCUGCAUCAAGUAAAAAUGAUUAUCAGGAGUAAAUUGGCAGCUUGUUUAAAACUGAUACCAAGCUGAAGUGCAAAUUAACUUUGACUAUAAGUUUUUAACGCAACCACCAGGCUACAUAGUAAAUGACCAAUCUAGGAUAGGACAUAUUGCGAGAAAGUAAUUUUCCAACAUUACCUUCCUUAUGACCUUGACCCCUUUCUUCUUUCAAACUGUGUAUAUAAAUCACUAUACUUUUUCUAAAUGCAAUUGAUUAAAUAUUUUGACUGUGAAACGGCAUAUAUUGAUAGCUAUAAGAACAGCUUAUUGAUGAUAAAAUAGAUAUUGAUGAGAAUAAUGAUGUUCUCAUCAAUAAUUUGAUUGCUCAACAAAUAGUAAAACGGCAAGUGUUAUAGAGGCAAUUAUAUAUCUUUAUAUCUCUUAGCCAUGGAGGCAAUGAUCUAACCGCAAUGGUGCAGUGUCCACUCUUUUAUACACAGCAAAAAUUCUAGUAGAUAAGCAGUAAGUUCAAUUCUCAUCAAAAAAUAUAAACAUGAUCACAGGAACUAAAAAUGUAGUCAGAUCGAAGUAAUGAAUAGUCUUCAAAAUUACUUAAGAGUACCAUUUAUGAGUUUCAGAAUUGGCUCCACACUUGUGUUGAGAGUUGGCUGUAAGAGAGGGCCGAUCACCAAACCUGGAUUUAUUGUAACAAUAUCAAUUCCUUUCUCUUUUGCAAACUUCCAAGCAGCUUCCUCAGCUAAUGUCUUUGACAGCAUAUACCAAGCCUAAAGAAAACCAAUGUCUAAGCGAAGAAAAUGCACACAUUGUUUAUGACAUAAAAGCAAAGAGAUUUAACUCGUAUGCUAUAUUUUUCUUAUUAGUUAUCAAAAAUACAAAAAAUUAAAAAUCUUUUACAUGCAAACCUUUGAUUUUUCACAGAAAGCUGGAUCUGAAAACCAGGACUCAUCAAUUACUACAUCAGGAGCGACAGGCUUUCCAUUGAAUGCAACUGCUGCCAUAGAGGAAGUUAUAAUAACCCUCUUGAUAGACGGAACCUUAACACAUGAUCUGAGGACAUUAAGUGUUCCCUUCAAAGCAGGGUCAAUUAGUUCAACCUGACAAAAGAACAUAGAAACUUAAAUUAUAGAACUUGAUUUGACAAUAAAAGCAUCUAACAGGUGAUUGUUGCAUUUGUCUCCAUAUUCAAUGUAUCCAAUUCCAAAAUCAUACCAUAUAUACACUUCUUUACAAAUUAUGAGCUUUAACAGUUAAUCUUGUAGAUUGCACAAGUACUUGGUAAGUAUCAAGUGUACUCUUGGUGAGUACAAUUGAACGAACUUUUAAAAAUGAUAAUUACAUCCAAAUAGAUCUGGGACAGAUACCAUGCUACAAGAAAAGCAUGGCAACUAACUGUGCUGAUUAUAUAUAUCAUAUACCCUACUUUUUUGAUAUACAGUAGAAGACACAAUGUAAGUUAAACACUUGCUUAAAUGAAAGUUUUAUUUUCUUUUGGUAACUCCAGAAAGAUUUCAACAGAAGAGUCGCCUUUGGAAUUUAAAUAUACAAUACAUAUUAGUUAGUUGAUAACAACUUGCAGCAAUUAAAAUGAGAUGGGAUGUACCUGCGGAUCACUGGGAUUGUGAUAAAAUGGGGAUGCUGUAUGAAAAACAGCUACACUACCAUCAACUAAGGAAUCAAAAGAUCCUUCUUCCAGCAGAUCUGCUUUGAACAAUUGAAGCCUUUCCUUGGCUCCAUCUAAUGAAAGCAAGUGUUCUGUUUUCUUCUUGUCAUCUGUGGCAUUUCAAAAGGAUCGAAGCCCUUGAAUCAAUAAACCAUCAAAACCGGAUUGAGGAUCAGUUUGGUUCUAUGUGCAAGUAAAUUGAAUCAGACCCAUCAUUUUAUCAAGUUACCAAGGCCAAACCCACUAAAAACCAUACUUGAUCAAGCUACAAAUCACUCAAAUCCAUAAACUUUACCAACCUAUUAUUGAAACGCACACUAGUUUUCCAAUACCCAUAAACUUCUUGUUCAUUUAAAAGCUUUGCUAAGCCUCAAAGAUCAUCAAAUGAUAUUAUUCACAACAGGGUUUAAGGUCUAGAAUCGAACACAACUAAACUGAAGAGAAAAGAACAAAAACGUGGGUAUGUAUGAUAAUGAAACAAGAACUGAAGUGAUGUGGAAGACUGACUUGGGUCACGAACUGAAGCCUUGACAGUGUAGCCGCGUUGCAGCAACAGUUUGACCAGCCAUGAAGCUAUGUAGCCGGAGGCUCCGGUGACGCUCACCACCACCUUCUCUGCUCCGCUCAUUCUCUUCAACCCUUCAGAUUUCAGAUUUGAAUUUAUGCACUGCUUUAUUGCUUUUUUUAUCAUCACUCCGUACGUACGUCAGCGUCAACCCUCGAGAGCAUGGUCGCAAGCUCUUGCGUCAACCACAUUUUAGUCGUUUGACAACAUCCCGGAGACGCGUGUAGAUACACAACAGUUGAGAUUGGAUGACAUUCAGACCAAAACAAGAGAUUGGAUGACAUCAACAUUUGUACCGGUAGUAAUUCUAUAUACUAUAGCAGGAAGGCAUUACAACUGUUCAUUCAGCUGGCNNNNNNNNNNNNNNNNNNNNNNNNNNNNNNNNNNNNNNNNNNNNNNNNNNCAUUUUUACAUCCAUUGGUAAGAGGCCAAGAAUGGUUCACUGCAACUGAUAGCAAAAUCCUCACGGUACUCAUUUUCGCAACAGGAGCUAAAGGUCUCCUUGUAGUCUACUCCAUAGGUUUGAGUAAACCCACGAGUUACCCAAUCGUGCCUUGUAUCUAUCCACACUCCCAUCAGAAUGAAACUUGGUCUUGUAAACCCAUCUACUACCAACAGCCUUCUUCCCUUUAGGAAGCCUUACCACACUCCAUGUCUUAUUUUCAUUAAGGGCAUGAAGCUCAUCAACCAUAGCUUGCUUCCACACAUCAUGAUUAUUAGCUUCCUCAAAACUUUGAGGUUCAUGAUUAUUAUCAAGAGUACUCAAAAAGGCAGAGUGAGCAGAAGAGAACCUUUUAUAAGAGAUGAAGGUAGUCAUUGGAUACCUGGCAGCAUAUGUCACAUAAUCCUUAAGUUUUGCUGGAGGACCUCGUACUCGCAUAGGAUUUCUACGAGGUACAACUGGAGGUGAAAGAAGCGGCUCAACAACAGGUUGCACAUGUAAUUCAGAUUGAUCAACAUCUAGAUCAAGAGGCACUGCCUGAACUUCUGAAAUUGGAGCAGUAGGAUGAGAAGAUUGACUGGAAUCCCUAACAACCGGAUGACUGAAACUUGAAGCUGGAACUGAAGCAGUAGGAUGGAAAGGAUGUCUGCUAUCCUCAUCGACAGGAAGAUUAGGUGUUGGAAACAGAUCAAAUAAAGACUCCCCCUAACUGUAACCAUCUAAUUUCCCAGCAAAGAAAGGACUAUUCUCAUCAAAUCUAACAUCCCUGGAAACAAUGAUCUUGUUAGAGGAGGGGCUAUAGCAUUUGUAUCCUUUUUGAGUUGAUGAAUACCCAAAAAACACACAUUUUUCAGCCCGAGGAUCAAGUUUCCCUCUUUUAUUAGCUUGUAUGUGAACGAAGCACACGCAGCCAAACACUUUCAGGUGAGAAAUUUCGAUCUUCCUUCCUUUCAACACUUCAAGAGGAGAUUUACCACCAAACACUCUACUAGGCAACCGAUUGAUGAGAUAAGUGGCAGUGAGUACACUUUGAGACCAAAACUGCUUAGGCACAUUCAUUUGGAACAUCAGAGCUCUUGUUUUCUCCAAAAGAUCCCGAUUCUUUCUCUCAGCAAUGCCAUUUUUGCUGAGGCGUACCAACACAACUAGUCUGAUGUAGAAUUCCAUUUGUGCNNNNNNNNNNNNNNNNNNNNNNNNNNNNNNNNNNNNNNNNNNNNNNNNNNACCAAUGCCCUGCAAUACCUUUUAGUUUAUAAGCUGCAUACUUCACACGCUUGUUUGCAGCGAUUCCCAUAAGCUCAAAGAACCUCUCAACUUCCAUUAGCCAAUCCAAGAACUCGUCAGCAUUUAAAUUUCCAGUGAAGUUAGGGAUAUCAGCCUUAAUCUUAAAGUCUUCGCCUCCUUGACGUCGUUGAUAAGUAGGUUCCCUUUCAUUGAAGUUGGCAAAUUCAAUGAGUUCUCGUUGUGCGGUUUCUUCAAAGUCUUGGUCACGUUCAAACCCUCCGAUACGUCGACCUCUUUGUUGAUGGCCACGUCUACGGGCGAAUCCCAUAGCGCGUUGAUCAUCAAUUCCCAUGUGGCGUUCUCGGCGAUGUCCACGACCUCCGGCAAAUCCGUUGGUGCGAUGAGCAUCUCCUAUUGGAUUUAUGUUCAUCUGCCAAAUUAAUUGUCGAAUUUCCUCCGUUGCAUCUUGCACUGAUUCUCUCACAAAAUCUUGUGUCUGUUGUCGGAAGAUUUCGAACUGGUCAGCUAUAAGUUUCGAAUGAUCCCGUAAAUCCUUCUGAAUGUCUUUAAUCGCACGACCAGCGUCGGCGAAGUUGGUGAUGGUGAUUUCGUCCACUGAAUCGUCUCCCAUUGAGCGGGCGAAUCCCGGCUCUGGUUACCAAAUGAUACGGAAGCGUAAUCACGAUAGAAACAAGGUUUCGUCAAGCGUCGAAACCUUAUGGAGUAAGCUAGAAUCCACUAGCAAAACACAGGCACAAGCCUAAAACACAAGAGUUUCUAUUCUAAUUUCUUUUGGGUUUUCUUAUUGAUAACUUCCAUCAAAAUACAAUUUAGCAGGGGCCUUAUAUAGGCAUAGAAAUAAACAUAAUCAUACUAGAACUAGGAAUCCUUUAUUCUAAAUAAAACUUAAAUCCUAAUGAAAACAUAGAAAGUAAAAUAAUCCUAAUGCUGAUAGAAAAUAUGCAGGAACAAAGCUACUGCUUUGCAGAUUCAAAGCUGCUGCUUUGACUUUGCCUUCCUAGCAAGCUGUGUCUUAAAUGUUUGUGCAAGCUGUUCUAUAUCACCUUAAUUCAUUGUAAAGGUGUUUUACCUUUAUCAAUGCAUAUCUAUUUUAUUCACUGUCCAUGACACAGUAGCAGAGCCAAGUACACCAGCAAAAAGAACUAUGCAGCCCUGAAAAGAAUUAACACUUAAGGAGCUUUUGAACAUUGAAAUAAAGAAGCAGAAAAGGUAUUACCAUAUUGCAUGUGUGUGUGUGUGCGCGUGUGUGUGUGUGUGUCAUUAUAUAUACAUAUAUGUGUUGUGUGUUCAAUGCAUGUGUUACUCAGAAUACUUAUUAGAGAACAGUAACUAUGCUUCUCUUUUAAAUGGAAUGAUCUUUCAUUACAUUCUGGUAUUCGUCACCUGCUCAUCAUUGUCAUUUUCAAGUGCAACCAAAUUGAUCCCCUACUGAAAACAUUUCACUUUGCCGAGGAGAAGGAAGCAAAGGGACGUCAAAGUAAGCAUUGCUUAUAUCCAUAUAUAUGCAUUUCGUUUCUACCUCAGUAUCUAUUUACAUUACAGUAGUAUGAUUAAAAUGAGAUGGUCUGUAUUACAUUCUGAUAUUCAUGUAUUGUUAACGAUUGUUGGCAUUUUCAUGUACAACUAAAUUUAUCCAGUAACUAACACAUACCUCUUCACUUUGUAGAGGAGAAGGAAGCAAUGGGACAUCAAAGUAAGCAUCCCUUAUAUCCAUAUCCAUGCAUUUUUUGUAGAGGAGAAGAAAGCAAUGGGAUAUCAAAGUAAGCAUCCCUUAUAUCCAUAUCCAUGCAUUUGUUUUCUUUCAGUGUUUAUGUUGCAAUGGUAUGCUUUGCAUUUGUUUUGUUUAUCUUUUAACAGCUUUGUAUCCAUUGCCUGAAUUUAAAUAUUCAUAUACCAGAGCUCAAGGAAGUGAAUGUAAGGUCAAAUCAAAGCAGGAGUAAGAAAUAUGUGUUUUUGUAUAUGCUAUCCUUUUGAUGCUAACAAGUUGGACAUAGUUGGUUCUAACUACAGAUACAAUCCAGUGUUGCCUGGCAGUGGGAAGCAUUUUGCUAUCCAAAGAGACAAUAGACUAUUUUUUUGUGCCCAGUUAUUUUGGUGUCUAUAACACAAUACUAUGUAUUAUUGUUUUAUAUGUUAUGUAUAUCGAUAGCAUCACCAUGUGUAUUUCUAUUUUGUCAUACAUUUCCAUUUACCAUCAUGAAUUGCAUGUCAAAAAAUGUUAUCCAUUUCCUUUUUGUGACCAAUGUCAUUGUGCAAUAUCCAUGUUAUAUUAUUGUGUUUAUAAUUUUGUCGAACAACAACAACAUUGAUUCAAACAAAAACAAUUGCGGUAGUUAAUAUCUGUCAUUGCAAACCGCAGCAGCGCGCGGGCAUCAUCUAGU
rnacentral:lncRNA from 1 species